rnacentral:lncRNA from 1 species
CGGGCGCGGCGGCGGCGGCGGCGGCGGCGGCGGCGGAGCGGAGCAUAAUGCUAAAGAAGUAAACAGGUCAUGGCACGUUUAACAAAAAGACGACAGGCGGACACAAAAGCUAUCCAGCAUCUUUGGGCAGCCAUUGAAAUUAUCAGGAAUCAGAAGCAGAUUGCCAACAUUGAUCGUAUUACAAAGUAUAUGUCCCGGGUCCACGGCAUGCAUCCCAAAGAGACCACGCGGCAGCUGAGCUUAGCUGUGAAAGAUGGUCUCAUUGUGGAAACUCUAACAGUGGGCUGCAAAGGUUCAAAAGCUGGCAUUGAACAGGAAGGAUAUUGGUUACCAGGAGAUGAGAUUCUUGGACAGCAGUGGCACACAGCUGAGAGGCAGAGACAGGUGGAUCUUUGUGAGUUCGAGUUUAUCCUGGCCUACAGAGCAAGUUCUAGGACACCCGGGGCUUCACAGAAAUACCCAGUCUCAAAAAAAAAAAAAACAAAAUUAAAUUGAAUUAAAGUAAAUGUUCUUAUAAAUAA